AGCGAACGCUGGCGGCAGGCCUAACACAUGCAAGUCGAACGAACAUUUCGGGGUUAGUGGCGGACGGGUGGGUACCACGUGGGAACGUGCACUUAGGUUCCGUAUCAUUCAGGGUGACUUGUGCUAAUAACAAAUGUGCCAUUAGGGGGAAGGAUUUAUUGCCUCUUGAUCGGCCGGGGUCUGAUUCGCUAGUUGGUUGAGGUAAUGGCUCAGCACGGCGUCGUUCAGUAGCUGGUCGGUUCGGAGGCUCAGCCACAUUGGGACUGAGACACGGCCCAAUCUCCGACGGGAGGCAGCAGAAGAGAAUCUUGCGCAAUGAGCGAAGGCGUAGCGCAGCCAUGCGGCGUGAAUGAGGAAGGGCUUAGUAUUGUAAUAUUCUUUCUCCGGAGACGAUAGUGACGGUACCCGGUGAAGAAGCCCCGGCUAACUUCGUG
rnacentral:rRNA from 1 species